CCUACGGGUGGCUGCAGUAGGGAAUAUUGCUCAAUGGGGGAAACCCUGAAGCAGCAACGCCGCGUGGAGGAUGAAGGUUUUCGGAGUGGAAACCCCUUUUGGUAGAGAAGAAAAUGACGGUAUGUAACGAAUAAGCACCGGCUAACUCCGUGCCAGCAGCCGCGGUAAUACGGAGGGUGCAAGCGUUAAUCGGAAUAACUGGGCGUAAAGAGCGCGUAGGCGGGUUAGCAAGUCAGAUGUGAAAUCCUAUGGCUUAACCAUAGAACUGCAUUUGAAACUGUUAUUCUAGAGUAUGGGAGAGGUAGGUGGCAUUCUUGGUGUAGCGGUCAAAUCCUUAGAGAUCACGAG
rnacentral:rRNA from 1 species